UACGGAGGGAGCUAGCGUUGUUCGGAAUUACUGGGCGUAAAGCGCACGUAGGCGGCUAUUCAAGUCGGGGGUGAAAGCCCGGGGCUCAACCCCGGAACUGCCCUCGAAACUAGGUAGCUAGAAUCUUGGAGAGGCGAGUGGAAUUCCGAGUGUAGAGGUGAAAUUCGUAGAUAUUCGGAAGAACACCAGUGGCGAAGGCGACUCGCUGGGCAAGUAUUGACGCUGAGGUGCGAAAGCGUGGGGAGCAAACAGG
rnacentral:rRNA from 1 species